rnacentral:lncRNA from 1 species
AUGCUUCUUGCUUUACUAGAAAGGUUCAACUCAAGAAUUGGCCGCUUUCAUCCUAGGUCGCAACUAAGUACUGUUUCCACCCCUGUGUGGCCUACGGAAGAACUGAUCAAUGUGCGAGGACAUUGGUGAGUGAUGUUCAGAUAGUGCAGAAAAGCCUUACGGAUGCAUGAAGACCUUAGACCUGCCGCCUUAUGGAUGCAUGAAGACCUUAGACCCUGGCAGUGGAACAAUAUGCCCCAGACUAAAGAGAUGAGAAAACGAAAGAAGCAAAAUGAAAGGAACAAAUGUGGAAGUUUGAAAUUGCAUUCCAUGGUCCUGUGCCACAUUUCAUCAGCGUUUUUCCUUUGCUUUCUCCAAAGACUGGCCACAUGUGGUGUGUAGAUUGCUGGUGCUGUUUGGGAUCUCAUAUCAAAUACUGCUACCUAAUCCCAGGCGGGCCUUGGCGGGCCCACACCUGCAGCUGAUUGAAUCCUCCCGGAGUACAAAGGCCUGAUUUACAGCAUCAAGGAUACAGGGCCUGGUUGCAGCUGGGCUCCAGCAGGAAAAGGAAGUUGUUCAUCAUCUUGUGUGCAUUUCAUUAACAAUAGUGUACCCGAUAUGUAGCUUAUACAAUAAUUUCAAAUCACUGACAGAGAGCAUUAUGGUAUUUGGCAUUAGGAGGAAAAAUACUUCAGGAUGGGCAAAUUAAAUGUGAGCGUGAGGUUUUCAUGUGACCCGGUGUAGUUCCACAAGCUGAUUUACACUGGGAGGGCUAAUCUUGAAAUAUUUUGUUUCUUUAACUUUAUCCCAUUUCUUUCCCUUUGCCUGAUGAGCAAACCGUUAGAGCGCAGUGAGCCUCGGUGUACAAACGUGACGGUAAGCCGCUUCAAGUUAUACCCCUUUUCAAAAGAAAGAGCCCAAAAAAGAGUACCAAAGAAAGGGGUGGUAAUAGCUACAAACUUUUUAUCAUUUUAAAAACAGGAAACUCAUGCUUCAUAAGUGAGCCUUGAGACACAUUUUGCCCCAGUCUCGCUGAGGGGACAGAGGGGUUCAUCUCUUCAAGCUUUCAGAUGCCUACAUUUGCAUUAGUUAGCCGUAUAGCCGUAGGAAGAAAUAGGCACCGUCAGGGUACAGUUCUUCAAGCCUAGAUGUCCCACCAUAAGUAACUACAGUCCUCUGAAUUCAGAAGAAGUUGUGGGCAUUUGUUUCUUUGCAAGAUGCAUUUUGCACUCUUGGAAUUGAUCUGGAACUUUUCUGUCUAUUCAGUGACUUAGCUCAUCUGUAGUGAAUGACUCUUUGCAAAGUUAUAUUCUUUGUGAAAUUGUGUCUUUCAUGUAUUCAGCUCUCAUUCCACAUUUUUGGGAGGGUGACUUGAUUUCUUAUUUCAGCAGAGGUAAUAUAU